AUGAAAUAUGAUAAAACACGCUGGAGUAAUGAUAGGGGAAAAAAACAGAAUAAUCAAGACAUAAACCAGGAGAAUUAUAACGGCAAUAACAACAACAAUAACAACGAUAAUGAUAGAAACAACAAUACAAUGACUAGUAUUAACAAUCAUUUUGAAGGAGAGUAUAACAAUCUACAAUACACACAAACUUCUAAUAAUAAGAUGCAAACAAAUAAGUCAUAUAAUGGUAGAAAACCUUAUACAAAUAGAUCAUAUAGUAAUAAACGAUACGUUAAUAAAUCAUAUGUAUACAAGCCAUCUAGUAAUAAACUAUAUAGGAAUAGUAAGUCAAAUAGUAUACCAUUCGAAAUGGAUUCAUCUGAAUACCCUUUGAAUAAUACAAUAACAAAAAUAAAUAAUAUUUAUAAAAAUAAACAAAAAGGAGAAAAUAUAAUUAAUAAAAGUGAUAACUACAAUUCAUCAUCACCAUCAUCAUAUAUAAAAAACAGAGCAUCAAAUGAAAAUGAAAAAAAUAAAUUAAAUAAUAUAAAAAAUAAUAAUCAACCACGUUACCACAAAAAAUAUAUAAGAAAAACUUCUACAGAUAAUUUAGUUAAUUUUAAUUCUGACCAUAGGAAUUAUAGGCCUACAAAUAAUAAUACUACUACUAAUAAUAAUUAUAAUAAUAAUAUGGAUGGAUUUGACGAAGGACAUUAUAAAGAUGUCAAGUAUCAUAGUGGUGACGAGUACUAUAACUGUAAAGAUAAUAAUUUGGAUAAUAACAAAUUUCAUAACAGUGAAAAUGGAUAUAAUAACAAAUUUCAUAACAGUGAAAAUGGAUAUAAUGAACAUUACAGUAAUUAUAAUAGUGGACGAUACGAUGAUCGACAUUGGGAUGAUGGAUAUAGGGAUGGUGAAAGACACCAUGAUGAUAGACACCAUGAUGAUAGACAUCAUGAUGAUAGACAUCAUGAUGAUAGAUAUAGGGACGAUAGAUAUAGGGACGAUAAAUAUGGGGACGAUAGAUAUGGGGACGAUAGAUACCAUGAUGGUGAAUAUCAUGAUGAUGGAUAUCGUAAUAAUGAUUGUAGUGGAAAGUAUAAUAAUGAGCAUAGUGGAAAGUAUAAUAAUGAGCAUAGUGGAAAUAAUAAUAAUAAUAAUAAUAAUAUUAAUAAUAUUAAUAAUAAUAAUAUUAAUAAUAAUAUUAAUAAUAAUAUUAAUAAUAAUAUUAAUAAUAAUAAUAAUAUUAAUAAUAAUAAUAUUAAUAAUAAUAAUAAUAUUAAUAAUAAUAAUAUUAAUAAUAAUAAUAAUAUUAAUAAUAAUAAUAAUAAUAUUAAUAAUAAUAAUAUUAUAAAGAACGUACAAAAUGAUGAAACAAUUAAAACAGGUAAUAAUAGUUGUGACAAUAAUAGUGGUAUAUCAAUAAAAAAAGAUACUAUUAAAGAUAGUAUACUAAGUAAACUAUCUCUACUUAGAAAUAUACCUUUUAAUGUAAAAAACGAUGAUAAUAAUGACAAAUGUAAAACUGAUAAUAAUAGUGGAACUGUUGAUUAUAAAAAUGAACAAGAAAUAAGUAAAUUAGAAAAACAUACAAUGAUAAUUAAUGAUUUAAGAAAAUGUUUAAUUAAAAACAAUGAUUCCAAUUUGGAUUUAUCUAAUAAAGAACAUGAAACAAAUAACAUUAAUAAUUCAAAUAUGAAUAAUACUACUAAAGGUAUAAAUAUCAAUUCUAUCGAUAAUGGUAAUGCAAAAAUAGUUAGUGAUAACAUACACUUAGAACCCAAUUUUUAUAAUGAUUAUAUACAACCGUUUAUGGAUACAAACAUUAAUAAUAACAAUAUAAACAUUAGUAAUAACAAUAUAAACAUUAGUAAUAAUAAUAUAAACAUUAGUAAUAACAAUAUAAACAUUAGUAAUAACAAUACAAACAUUAGUAAUAACAAUACAAACAUAUUAAUAAACAAUCGAAUGAAUUCUUAUAAUGUUGAUAAUAUUGAGUAUGUUAAUAAUAAUGAGGAAAUGUAUAUGGAUUAUACAAAUGGUAGAUUUUUAGAAAAUAAAAACAAUUUAUAUAAUAAACAAAUGAAUCGUACGGACUGUAUGAGUUGUUUUGAUGUAAAUAGCAUGUUGCCACAAGAAUCGUCUGUAUCUUCUGUACUAUUUAAUGAAAAUAAUAGUGGUACUAUUACUAGUUGCUACAAAUCGAAUGAACUACAAAGAUUAAACAAAAUGUAUGAUAUAAAAAAUAAUAACGUAACUUAUAAUAACAAACCUAAUGCAAGUGGAAACAAUUUUUUCCCAGAGGUACAAAUUAAAGAAUCUUUAAAAGUAUUAAAUACAUUACAAGUAGAUAUAGAAAAAGUAUGUUGUUAUAUAAAACAUUUUAUAGAACCACCUGAGCAAUUAUUUGAAAUAAUGACAACUGUAUUUUUAGAUAGUACAGUAUUAACAACUUCAAAAACAGCUAUAUUUUAUGUAUAUAAUCAUUUGAUACAAGAACUUAGAAAUACAUAUAAAAAUGACAUGCAAAGAUAUCAUAAUAUUGCUGAAAAAGGCUUACAGUUAUUUGUUAUUCCUAUACUACGGUAUAUAUUAAUAGAAGGAACAAAUACUGAUAUUAUUAAUAAAUUUUUUAGAUGUAUAGAUAUAUGGAAUGAUCGAAAUAUAUAUGGUAAAACAGUAUGUGAUCAAUUAAAAAGUAUGCAAAAAAAUCCACAUAAAAAAAUUGAUUUAAUAUUAAAAGCUACACCUUACCAAGCACAUAGUUUAUUAUCUAAUGAACUUUCCAAAUUCACAUCCUUAAAUUUUAUUUUAAAAAUGCCUAGUAUUAAUAAUGCUCAUAAAAAAGCAUUAGAAAAUAAAAUACUAAAAACUUUAUUUAAUAAUAUUUGUAAAGAUAAAUUAAAAGAUUUUAAUUAUGAAGAGAUACAAGAAGCAUCGAAAAUUUCAGAUAAAGUUAUGCGUAUGUUUGGACAAGAAUUAAUACUUCUAAAUUCACAAAUACUUGAACUAUCAUCAUUAAUAAAUGAUAAUAAUGACCAUUUAUUAGAAUUACAAAAAGAAUUGAGCAACUUCAAAGAAUAGUUUGUGUGUGACGAACAAAAAAAAAAAAAAAAAAAAAAAAAAAAAAACCCUGUGCUUAUCCCCCAACAUGCCUACCCUACUUUCCAUAUAAAUUCCAUACGUAUUAUAGGUAUUGUCAAAUAGAAUGUACGAAAAAAAAAAAAAAUAAAUAAAUAAAUAAACCGAAGUAUCA
rnacentral:lncRNA from 1 species